ACACACACACACACACACACACACACACACACACACACACACACACACACACACACACACACACACACACACACACACACACACACACACACACACACACACACACACAUAUCCCAAGACAAAUUCAAACCAACAUGUCAAAACGGCGUUACACUACGGAAGAAACCGUAGAAUUUAUUUUGUCUGGCGGACCGCUUAGCGAUGCAGCGGUGGAUUCCUCAGAUUCUGAAGCUGACAACUGGCAAGGAAGAGGAGUAUGAUCACGGGAUUGAUCCCUUCGAAGAUAAAAAAUACAGAGGAUGAGAGAGAGGAUGCACAAGCCCCUGUCCCCAUCAGUAGGCCUCCUUCAAACCGAGAGGGAAAAGAAUGUGGCCAGGAGGGUGCAGCAUCCAGAAAAAAGGCCAAACCAAUGACAGCCCCCCUGACAGUGAAAGGGAGAGGAAGAGGAAAAGGGAAAAAAACAUCUCUGACCCCAGAAGAGCCAGGAGCUGUUUGGAACGGACCUGAGGUGCCAGAUACUGCCCAACAACUACCACACUUUUGCCCGAAAAGAGCCCCUGGAGUCCAAGGUUUUGUUGGUGUGGAGUAUACUCCUGCACAAAUAUUUAGAAAUUGUUUUAACAACCAAGCUGUAAAUAUCAUCUGCAAGAACACAAACAAAAAUGCUGAAAAGGAGCAGGCUAAGGGGGAAAAGUUUGUUU